CUAGCACUUUGGCUGUGACCU
rnacentral:miRNA from 1 species